UAGAGUUUGAUCCUGGCUCAGGAUGAACGCUGGCGGCGUGCUUAACACAUGCAAGUCGAACGAUGAAGGGAGCUUGCUCCUGGAUUAGUGGCGAACGGGUGAGUAACACGUGAGUAACCUGCCCUUAACUCUGGGAUAAGCCUGGGAAACUGGGUCUAAUACCGGAUAUGACUCCUCAUCGCAUGGUGGGGGGUGGAAAGCUUUUUGUGGUUUUGGAUGGACUCGCGGCCUAUCAGCUUGUUGGUGAGGUAAUGGCUUACCAAGGCGACGACGGGUAGCCGGCCUGAGAGGGUGACCGGCCACACUGGGACUGAGACACGGCCCAGACUCCUACGGGAGGCAGCAGUGGGGAAUAUUGCACAAUGGGCGCAAGCCUGAUGCAGCGACGCCGCGUGAGGGAUGACGGCCUUCGGGUUGUAAACCUCUUUCAGUAGGGAAGAAGCGAAAGUGACGGUACCUGCAGAAGAAGCGCCGGCUAACUACGUGCCAGCAGCCGCGGUAAUACGUAGGGCGCAAGCGUUAUCCGGAAUUAUUGGGCGUAAAGAGCUCGUAGGCGGUUUGUCGCGUCUGCCGUGAAAGUCCGGGGCUCAACUCCGGAUCUGCGGUGGGUACGGGCAGACUAGAGUGAUGUAGGGGAGACUGGAAUUCCUGGUGUAGCGGUGAAAUGCGCAGAUAUCAGGAGGAACACCGAUGGCGAAGGCAGGUCUCUGGGCAUUAACUGACGCUGAGGAGCGAAAGCAUGGGGAGCGAACAGGAUUAGAUACCCUGGUAGUCCAUGCCGUAAACGUUGGGCACUAGGUGUGGGGGACAUUCCACGUUUUCCGCGCCGUAGCUAACGCAUUAAGGCC
rnacentral:rRNA from 1 species